GCAUAGUGUUACUAUCAACAACCUUUACUUCAUUUACUUGUUCAAUAGCCAGGUAGGUAGAUGCUAGAUUCUAGAAAUAAAAUAUGAGUCUCAAGUGGCCCUUGUCCCCUCUUCUACUCAAAUUCUGAAUCUAGUUGGCAAGAUUCUGAAAUCAAGGCAUAUAGUCGGUGAUGAUAGAAG
rnacentral:ribozyme from 13 species